AUUGAACGCUGGCGGCAGGCCUAACACAUGCAAGUCGAGCGGAUGACGGGAGCUUGCUCCUUGAUUCAGCGGCGGACGGGUGAGUAAUGCCUAGGAAUCUGCCUGGUAGUGGGGGACAACGUUUCGAAAGGAACGCUAAUACCGCAUACGUCCUACGGGAGAAAGCAGGGGACCUUCGGGCCUUGCGCUAUCAGAUGAGCCUAGGUCGGAUUAGCUUGUUGGUGAGGUAAUGGCUCACCAAGGCGACGAUCCGUAACUGGUCUGAGAGGAUGAUCAGCCACACUGGAACUGAGACACGGUCCAGAGUCCUACGGGAGGCAGCAGUGGGGAAUAUUGGACAAUGGGCGAAAGCCUGAUCCAGCCAUGCCGCGUGUGUGAAGAAGGUCUUCGGAUUGUAAAGCACUUUAAGUUGGGAGGAAGGGUUGUAGAUUAAUACUCUGCAAUUUUGACGUUACCGACAGAAUAAGCACCGGCUAACUCUGUGCCAGCAGCCGCCGUAACAC
rnacentral:rRNA from 1 species